rnacentral:rRNA from 1 species
UGGGGAAUAUUGGACAAUGGGCGAAAGCCUGAUCCAGCCAUGCCGCGUGUGUGAAGAAGGCCUUCGGAUUGUAAAGCACUUUAAGUUGGGAGGAAGGGCAGUAAGCGAAUACCUUGCUGUUUUGACGUUACCGACAGAAAAAGCACCGGCUAACUCUGUGCCAGCAUCUGCGGUAAUACAGAGGGUGCAAGCGUUAGUGGGAAUUACUGGGCGUAAAGCGCGCGUAGGUGGUUCGUUAAGUUGAAUGUGAAAGCCCCGGGGUCAACCUGGGAACUGCAUCCAAAACUAGCGGGUUUGAGUAGGGCAGAGGGUGGUGGAAUUUCCUGUUUAGCGGUGAAAUGCGUAGAUAUAGGAAGGAACAACAGUGGCGAAGGCGACCACCUGGGCUCGUACUGACACUGAGGUGCGAAAGCGUAGGGAGCAAACAAG